rnacentral:rRNA from 1 species
GACGAACGCUGGCGGCGUGCUUAACACAUGCAAGUCGAACGGAAAGGCCCUGCUUUUGUGGGGUGCUCGAGUGGCGAAAGGGUGAGUAACACGUGAGUAACCUGCCCUUGACUUUGGGAUAACUUCAGGACACUGGGGCUAAUACCGGAUAGGAGCUCCUGCUGCAUGGUGGGGGGUGGAAAGAUUCGGCGGUUGGGGAUGGACUCGCGGCUUAUCAGCUUGUUGGUGGGGUAGUGGCUUACCAAGGCUUUGACGGGUAGCCGGCCUGAGAGGGUGACCGGCCACAUUGGGACUGAGAUACGGCCCAGACUCCUACGGGAGGCAGCAGUGGGGAAUAUUGCACAAUGGGCGGAAGCCUGAUGCAGCAACGCCGCGUGCGGGAUGACGGCCUUCGGGUUGUAACCCGCUUUCGCCUGUGACGAAGCGUGAGUGACGGUAAUGGGUAAAGAAGCACCGGCUAACUACGUG